rnacentral:rRNA from 1 species
AUUCCGGUUGAUCCUGCCGGAGGUCAUUGCUAUUGGGAUUCGAUUUAGCCAUGCUAGUUGUACGAGUUCAUACUCGUAGCGGAAAGCUCAGUAACACGUGGUCAAACUACCCUGUAGACCGUCAUAACCUCGGGAAACUGAGGCUAAUAACGGAUACGCAACAGCAGUUGGAAUACGCUGUUGAGAAAACGCUCAGGCGCUACAGGAUGUGGCUGCGGCCGAUUAGGUAGACGGUGGGGUAACGGCCCACCGUGCCAAUAAUCGGUACGGGUUGUGAGAGCAAGAGCCCGGAGACGGAAUCUGAGACAAGAUUCCGGGCCCUACGGGGCGCAGCAGGCGCGAAACCUUUACACUGCACGCCAGUGCGAUAGGGGGAUCCCAAGUGCGAGGGCAUAUUAGCCCUCGCUUUUGUGAACCGUAAGGCGGUUCACGAAUAAGAGCUGGGCAAGACCGGUGCCAGCCGCCGCGGUAAUACCGGCAGCUUGAGUGAUGACCGAUUUUAUUGGGCCUAAAGCGUCCGUAGCUGGCCGUACAAGUCCGUCGGGAAAUCUACCUGCCCAACAGGUAGGCGUCCGGCAGAAACUGUAUGGCUUGGAACCGGAAGGCGUGAAGGGUACGUCUGGGGUAGGAGUGAAAUCCUGUAAUCCCAGACGGACCACCGAUGGCGAAAGCACUUCACGAGGACGGAUUCGACAGUGAGGGACGAAAGCUGGGUCUCGAACCGGAUUAGAUACCCGGGUAGUCCUAGCCGUAAACGAUGUCUGUUAGGUGUGACUCCCACUACGAGUGGGUGUUGUGCCGUAGGGAAGCCGCUAAACAGACCGCCUGGGAAGUACGUCCGCAAGGAUGAAACUUAAAGGAAUUGGCGGGGGAGCACUACAACCGGAGGAGCCUGCGGUUUAAUUGGACUCAACGCCGGACAUCUCACCAGCUCCGACUAUAGUAAUGACAGUCAUGUUAACGACAUCCACUACGAGCUAUAGAGAGGAGGUGCAUGGCCGCCGUCAGCUCGUACCGUGAGGCGUCCUGUUAAGUCAGGCAACGAGCGAGACCCGCGCUUCUAAUUGCCAGCAACACCCCCGGGUGGUUGGGUACAUUAGAGGACCGCCGCUGCUAAAGCGGAGGAAGGAACGGGCAACGGUAGGUCAGUAUGCCCCGAAUGAGCUGGGCUACACGCGGGCUACAAUGGUCAGGACAAUGGGUUCCAACGCCGAAAGGCGACGGUAAUCUCAGAAACCUGGUCGUAGUUCGGAUUGUGGGCUGAAACUCGCCCACAUGAAGCUGGAUUCGGUAGUAAUCGCGUGUCACAAGCGCGCGGUGAAUACGUCCCUGCUCCUUGCACACACCGCCCGUCAAAGCACCCGAGUGAGGUCCGGAUGAGGCUGUCAUACGGCAGUCGAAUCUGGGCUUCGCAAGGGGGCUUAAGUCGUAACAAGGUAGCCGUAGGGGAAUCUGCGGCUGGAUCACCUCCUAACGACCG